rnacentral:rRNA from 1 species
CUAAGAUUGAGCUGUGAUGGGGAAGCACUUUCGAGUGCGAAGUACCUGAUGUCACACUGCCAAGAAAAUCUUCUAGCGUUUAAUUAUAACCUACCCGUACCGCAAACCGACACAGGUAGUCGAGGCGAGUAGCCUCAGGUGAGCGAGAGAACUCUCGUUAAGGAACUCGGCAAAAUGACCCCGUAACUUCGGGAGAAGGGGUGCUCUACAUUUGUAGAGCCGCAGUGAAUAGGCCCAAGCGACUGUUUAUCAAAAACACAGCUCUCUGCUAAAUCGUAAGAUGAUGUAUAGGGGGUGACGCCUGCCCGGUGCUGGAAGGUUAAGAGGAGUGCUUAGCGUAAGCGAAGGUAUGAAUUGAAGCCCCAGUAAACGGCGGCCGUAACAAUAACGGUCCUAAGGUAGCGAAAUUCCUUGUCGGGUAAGUUCCGACCCGCACGAAAGGCGUAACGAUUUGGGCACUGUCUCAACGAGAGACUCGGUGAAAUUUUAGUACCUGUGAAGAUGCAGGUUACCCGCGACAGGACGGAAAGACCCCAUGGAGCUUUACUGCAAGUUGAUAUUGAGUAUCUGUUGCACAUGUACAGGAUAGGUAGGAGCCAUUGAUCUGAGGACGCUAGUUUUCAGUGAGGCGAUGUUGGGAUACUACCCUUGUGUCAUGGCUACUCUAACCCGCAUGCCUAAUCGGCAUGGGAGACAGUGUCUGCUGGGCAGUUUGACUGGGGCGGUCGCCUCCUAAAGAGUAACGGAGGCGCUCAAAGUUUCCCUCAGCAUGGUUGGAAAUCAUGCGUAGAGUGUAAAGGUAUAAGGGAGAUUGACUGCGAGACUUACAAGUCGAGCAGGUACGAAAGUAGGACUUAGUGAUCCGGUGGUACCGCAUGGAAGGGCCAUCGCUCAACGGAUAAAAGCUACCCUGGGGAUAACAGGCUUAUCUCCCCCAAGAGUUCACAUCGACGGGGAGGUUUGGCACCUCGAUGUCGGCUCGUCGCAUCCUGGGGCUGUAGUCGGUCCCAAGGGUUGGGCUGUUCGCCCAUUAAAGCGGCACGCGAGCUGGGUUCAGAACGUCGUGAGACAGUUCGGUCCCUAUCCGUCGCGGGCGUAGGAAAUUUGAGAGGAUCUGCCCUUAGUACGAGAGGACCGGGGUGGACUUACCGCUGGUGUACCAGUUGUCUUGCCAAAGGCAUCGCUGGGUAGCUAUGUAGGGAACGGAUAAACGCUGAAAGCAUCUAAGUGUGAAACCAACCUCAAGAUGAGAUUUCCCAUUCUUUAUGAAUUAAGAGCCCUGAGAGAUGAUCAGGUAGAUAGGCUAGAAGUGGAAGGACAGUGAUGUUUGGAGCGGACUAGUACUAAUAGCUCGAGGACUUUACC